GGCUAGAGCCGGAGCUGCCGCGCCAGUCGCCUAGCAGGUCCUCUACCGGCUUAUUCCUGUGCCGGAUCUUCAUCGGCACAGGGGCCACCGAGACGUUUCUGCCUCCCUCUUUCUUCCUCCGCUCUUUCUCUUCCCUCUCGUUUAGUUUGCCUGGGAGCUUGAAAGGAGAAAGCACGGGGUCGCCCCAAACCUCUUCUGCUUCUGCCCAUCACAAGUGCCACUACCGCCAUGGGCCUCACUAUCUCCUCCCUCUUCUCCCGACUAUUUGGCAAGAAGCAGAUGCGCAUUUUGAUGGCUGGACAACAUUGGGCAGAGAUGUGGGGAAAGCCAACUCUGGGAAGCAAACACUUGGCGAGGCCCUUUCUGGGGGUGCGAUCUGCAUACCUUCUUGCCCGGGUGUGGACAGCGGUCAGGAGGGAGGCAGAGCAACUCCAGCCUUUUCCCUCCCACUCUGCGUUUCGUGUACAGUCCCUGCACACUCCAUUGGUAUGUAAG
rnacentral:sRNA from 1 species